UGACGAAGGCCUUCGGGUCGUAAAGCUCUGUUCUCAGGGAAAAAGCAAGUGAUUGUACCUGAGAAGAAAGGACCGGCUAACUUCGUGCCAGCAGCCGCGGUAAGACGAGGGGUCCAAGCGUUGUUCGGAAUUAUUGGGCGUAAAGCGGGUGUAGGCGGCUCUAUAAGUCAGAAGUGAAAGCCCUGGGCUCAACCCGGGAAGUGCUUUUGAUACUGCAGAGCUUGAAUGUGGGAGAGGGUAGUGGAAUUCCAGGUGUAGUGGUGAAAUACGUAGAUAUCUGGAGGAACACCGGUGGCGAAGGCGGCUACCUGGCCCAACAUUGACGCUGAGACCCGAAAGCAUGGGGAUCAAACAGG
rnacentral:rRNA from 1 species